UUUCUUGAUUUUUUUAUUUUUUGACUGUUUACGAAUUAAGAUUUUUGAUAUUUUUUGGAUUGUCACGAAAAAAUCCAAAAUUUUGAUAUUUUAUUCGUGUCGAUAUUCAAAGGUGACUUGUGCGAUUCAGAAAAAAAUUUGAGAUAUUUUUAUGUUUUUUUCUUGAUUUUUAUAUUUUUCUACUGUUUACGAAUUAAAAUUUUUGAUAUUUUUCGAAUGGUCCCAAAAAAAAUUGAAAUUUAUAUAUUUUAUUCAUAUCGAUAAUCUAAGGUGAC
rnacentral:lncRNA from 1 species